GAUGAACGCUGGCGGCGUGCUUAACACAUGCAAGUCGAACGGAAAGGCUCCUGCUUGCAGGGGUACUCGAGUGGCGAACGGGUGAGUAACACGUGGGUGAUCUGCCCUGCACUUCGGGAUAAGCCUGGGAAACUGGGUCUAAUACCGGAUAGGACGAUGGUUUGGAUGCCAUUGUGGAAAGUUUUUUCGGUGUGGGAUGAGCUCGCGGCCUGUCAGCUUGUUGGUGGGGUAAUGGCCUACCAAGGCGUCGACGGGUAGCCGGCCUGAGAGGGUGUACGGCCACAUUGGGACUGAGAUACGGCCCAGACUCCUACGGGAGGCAGCAGUGGGGAAUAUUGCACAAUGGGCGCAAGCCUGAUGCAGCGACGCCGCGUGGGGGAUGACGGCCUUCGGGUUGUAAACUCCUUUCGCUAGGGACGAAGCGCAAGUGACGGUACCUGGAGAAGAAGCACCGGCUAACUACGUG
rnacentral:rRNA from 1 species